rnacentral:rRNA from 1 species
ACGGAAGGCAGCAGUGGGGAAUAUUGGGCAAUGGGCGAAAGCCUGACCCAGCAACGCCGCGUGAGUGAAGAAGGCCUUCGGGUUGUAAAACUCUUUUACCAGGGACGAAGGAAGUGACGGUACCUGGAGAAAAAGCAACGGCUAACUACGUGCCAGCAGCCGCGGUAAUACGUAGGUUGCAAGCGUUGUCCGGAUUUACUGGGUGUAAAGGGCGUGUAGGCGGAGCUGCAAGUCAGAUGUGAAAUCCCGGGGCUCAACCCCGGAACUGCAUUUGAAACUGUAGCCCUUGAGUAUCGGAGAGGCAAGCGGAAUUCCUAGUGUAGCGGUGAAAUGCGUAGAUAUUAGGAGGAACACCAGUGGCGAAGGCGGCUUGCUGGACUGUAACUGACGUUGAGGCUCGAAAGCGUGGGGAGCAAACAGGAUUAGAUACCCUGGUA